rnacentral:rRNA from 1 species
UACAGAGGUCCCAAGCGUUGUUCGGAUUCAUUGGGCGUAAAGAGCUCGUAGGCGGUUUGUCGCGUCUGCUGUGAAAACUCGGGGCUUAACCCCGGGCCUGCAGUGGGUACGGGCAGACUAGAGUGCGGUAGGGGAGACUGGAAUUCCUGGUGUAGCGGUGAAAUGCGCAGAUAUCAGGAGGAACACCGGUGGCGAAGGCGGGUCUCUGGGCCGUAACUGACGCUGAGGAGCGAAAGCGUGGGGAGCGAACAGG